rnacentral:rRNA from 1 species
CACGUAGGACGCGAGCGUUUGUCCGGAAUUAUUGGGCGUAAAGAGCUCGUAGGCGGCCUGUUGCGUCCGCUGUGAAAGCCCGGGGCUUAACCCCGGGUCUGCAGUGGAUACGGGCAGGCUAGAGGUAGGUAGGGGAGAAUGGAAUUCCCGGUGUAGCGGUGAAAUGCGCAGAUAUCGGGAGGAACACCGGUGGCGAAGGCGGUUCUCUGGGCAUUACCUGACGCUGAGGAGCGAAAGUGUGGGGAGCGAACAGG